rnacentral:rRNA from 1 species
UACGGAGGGUGCAAGCGUUGUUCGGAAUCACUGGGCGUAAAGGGCGUGUAGGCGGUCCGCUAAGUCUGAUGUGAAAGCCCCGGGCUCAACCUGGGAGGUGCGCUCGAGACUGGUUUGCUGGAGUUCGGGAGAGGAGCGUGGAAUUCCCAGUGUAGAGGUGAAAUUCGUAGAUAUUGGGAAGAACACCGGUGGCGAAGGCGGCGCUCUGGACCGAGACUGACGCUGAGGCGCGAAAGCGUGGGGAGCAAACAGG